AUGUAUUUAGUAUACAAUAUUUUUGAAAUAAGCGGGAAAAUCAAUUAACCGGGGGUCAAUUAAGCGAAAGAUACUAUACUUGCACAUAUAUUUGAUGCUCUGCAUCGCACUGCGGAACUCAACACUAAUAUAUUCACUGCUACAAUCAAUACACAAAUAAGACCAAAAAAACAAUGGACGUAAGCUGUACAGAGGUGAGAAAAAGAAAACCGCCUUCUUUUCAUCGCUACUCCGUUAUGUUUUCUGGUUCAGAAGUGCCAACGGAAGACACCGGGCGGGGAUAAGUGAUUGAUUGAUGGAACUAUACUACAUGAAAAUUUUAAUAUACUACAACUAUUUUAUUCAAUUGCCAUCCUAUGGGUCUGUGGAUAGAACGGAAUAAUAUAAAAAUUGCGAUUACAAUUCUGGUGUUGAUCGUAUUUAGAGUGAAAAUUUAGGAGUGUAUAUAUUCUUCAAUUUUGAAUCUUGUAAAAAUAAAAACCAAAAAUAAGAAUAUACUAAUAUGUAAACACACAAAAUUCAUCAAAAUCGGUCCAGCCGUUUCGAUGUAGUUUGGUAACAAACACCGUGA